GACGUAGGGCGCGAGCGUUGUCCGGAUUUAUUGGGCGUAAAGAGCUCGUAGGCGGUUUGUCGCGUCGUCCGUGAAAACUCACAGCUUAACUGUGAGCUUGCGGUCGAUACGGGCAGGCUAGAGUUCGGUAGGGAGACUGGAAUUCCUGGUGUAGCGGUGAAAUGCGCAGAUAUCAGGAGGAACACCGGUGGCGAAGGCGGGUCUCUGGGCCGAUACUGACGCUGAGGAGCGAAAGCGUGGGGAGCGAACAGG
rnacentral:rRNA from 1 species